rnacentral:rRNA from 1 species
UACGUAGGGUGCGAGCGUUAAUCGGAAUUACUGGGCGGAAAGCGUGCGCAGGCGGUUUUGUAAGCCCGAUGUGAAAUCCCCGGGCUUAACCUGGGAAUGGCAUUUGGGACUGCAAGGCUUGAGUGCGGCAGAGGAGACUGGAAUUCCUGGUGUAGCAGUGAAAUGCGUAGAUAUCAGGAGGAACACCGAUGGCGAAGGCAGGUCUCUGGGCUGACACUGACGCUCAUGCACGAAAGCGUGGGGAGCAAACAGG